AACAAAGUUUCUUCCUUUUUUACUUGGAAACAAAUUAGAAAGUGAAAAAGUUGAAAAUAAAUUAAAGGGUACAAAGAUUAAGGUAAAAAAACAACAAAAACAAAGACAGACAAAAACUCCUAAGAAACACUACAAUGUCAUUUGAGUUAGGAGCUAAACACUAACAGUAACAUAAACACACACAAAGCAUGUUUCUCUCUCUAAAAAAA
rnacentral:lncRNA from 1 species